UGCCUCUUUUAGGUGAAGUCUAGUGUUUAAAUAGGGUGUUGGGGCUAAAAAUCUCGUAUUUUCCACUUUAGUCCCUGAAAUUUCCGCCUCCUGCCGCGAUCGCGGUAGAACCACAGCCAAACAUGCUCUCUGACAGUCUGUUUGUCUGCAGCCCUCUUUCACUGUGGUUCUGCCGCAGUCGUGGUAGAACUGCGGCAGACCCAGUUCUCUGAUUCUUCAAGCCUGGUUUCGAGCUGUUUCCGUGGUUCACUUGACAAACUUCUAUGGUUGGCCUCUUUUUCUCCAUUUUUUGAUCCCAAAAGUAUUCCAUAUCCUUCUUUGGUCAUAUACGACCUGCAAAGCAUGAAAAGCACUAACAAGAGCAUUUUGGUAUCACUUUCAUCAUCAAAACUAUACAAGAAGGUAAUUAUUUAGGACCUGACUAUAGUUAAAUUCACCUGUUAUCAACACCCCACACUUAAACCUUUGCUCGUCCUCGAGCAAAUUAAACCGCACUUUUAGGCCUAACCGUUUGAUGCAUUACCUCAAUUUAUGUCACACUCGCCAUUAUGAAGUACCAACCUAAGCAGUGCAACAAUCAUACCUCAAAUGCAGACUCUCAAGUCAUGUCACACUCGUGCUCACUCUAGUUACUCUAACAGAAGUGAAGACUUAAUUUUCUUCCUGAGUCACAUGCCCUCACAUCAUAGUUUAGAGAUAAUUCCACACACAUAAAAUUCAAACAAUAAGGAACCAAAGAUAGAAAAAAUUCACUCACUCUCAGCAAGGAUCAUUCAUAUGCCACACAGACACACCAUAAGCUUGCCUCUAGUGUAAUACUCUACUAAUCGAGUUGUUUAGUCAAAGAUCAAGAGGCCUUCAUUUGGUUGUAAUGUAGGCUAAGGGAUGAGUAGGAUAUAUUUGGAUAUAGUGACUAACCUCCCUAAGCACUUUGAAGACACACCUCCUUUUAUUUUACUUCAUGUGCAGCCCCAUCAUUCUUCCACAUUUUUGUUUUACAGGUUACCCCUACUUUUCUUUAGGUGCAACUGGUUUCUCUUUUUUUUUCUGUCUCAUUUUUUUUCUUUUACACUGCAAGUGCAGCAGUCAAAUAAUUCAGUUUUUAUUUCCCUUUUUUCGCUACUUCCCUACCACCCCACACUUUGACUUUUGUAUAUUCUUUAGUGAUUCAAGUGAUUCUAGGAGGUAUAGAUUCAAACAAUCAAUCUAUUCAAACACUCGGAUAUAGGUCAUUAUAGGGUUAUCAAAGAACAGGCUUCAUGCUCAAAGGGGUUAACUAUGAUAAUAUAUACAUGUGGAUUCACAUUUAUACAGGCUUACACAAAGAAAUGCCUCAAUCCUUUCUAAAACCAAACAACUUCUAUUUCGCUUUGCAAACAUGGCAAGUUCUAGGUAUCGCAUGCAAGCACAGAAUGCAAGUAAUAGCUCACACACACCUAGCAUGUAACUCAUUCCGAAUCAGUUCAUCAACACACUCAUAUGAGUGUCAAAGCAAGACAAAAUGUGCAAAAUUAAGGCAUAGAUUACAAGUCCACAAACGAGCCUAUAUGUCACACUCUCAAGUUCGUUUUAGGUAUUUGCAGGUAUGCACAUUAAGGGUUUCAUUCUAGCCUUCACCAAUCUUGGUCCAAGAGAGUCCUAAGGUCCUAAGACUAUAAAAGAAAAAUUUACCUAACCCGAUUCAAGAAAACCCCUUGGAAAAGAACCGUGGUCAAAAGAAAAACUAAGGAAGAAUUACUACACUACCUAAAAAAGAAAAUAAAUAAAAAUAAAACUACAUGGACUAAUUCCCUCAAGAGUACUGUCCAAGUGGUCCGUCCUCUACCGUUGUUU
rnacentral:lncRNA from 1 species